AUGUCCAUUGCUAGCUAUUACAUAAACAUGACUUCUUUACUCUAUCCGGACUCCCGCACUAUACUGUACCUGCAAGCCUGGGGGUAAAGGGAGAGGGGUGAGCUAAAUGCCCAGUGAGUAGAACUAUAAAACAUUUUAACACUAUGCUUUAAUGAAAUGCAUCAUAACACAGACAAUUCACAUAAGGGUUGGGUGAACUUGUCACCAAUUAGUCCAAGCUAACAUGGUGCCAGGCCGUAGCAUGGGGUCCUGGUCUUCCUGUCAUACAUACAUUACUUACCAUUAUUCCAGGGCCUCCUCUGGGCUCCUAGUCUUCGAGUCCACAAUCGUGCCAGGCCGUAGAAUGGGGUCCUGGUCUUUCAUUUCCGUGCCAGGCCGUAGAAUGGGGUCCUGGUCUUCCUGUCAUGGACUAAUUGGGUCAUCCAACAUUCACCCACAUCAACAACAAUAGAUGCAAUGCGGCAUAUUCGUGAAGCUAAUGCAAUCAUCCUAUAGCAUAAUCAUGAUGCAUGAAACAUGAUAAAACAUUUAAUUUAAAAUAUUAAGUUUAGUUCCACUCACCUCUGGCUGACUCUGACAACACCGAAGCAGCUGACCUCACUGCUGGGGUCCUCGGUUCCUCGGGUCCGAACCUACACAGGUGGACUCAAAUGAGGGACCAAACAUACUUGAACAUAACUCUAAAAUACUCCCCAAAAACCCCCUAAAACAUCCUGAAAACAUCACAUAAAAACAUGCAAGAAAUGGCUGAACAGGGCACUUUCGGCGGCAGGUUCGGCGGCCGAAAGUCCCUCCAGAGCCGAAAGUCAGGCAGGUUCGGCGGCACCUUCGGCGGCCGAACCUCCCAGACAGAUCCGAAAGUCUUCUUUCGAGGGCAAGCUUCGGCAGCCCAAUGCUGCCUCCACAAGGGGGUUCGGCGGCCGAAACUCCCUUCGGCGGCCGAACCUGGUUUCUGCCAGAAGGGCAGAAACUUGGUUCACAUGAACCCCUUGCCUCCCAAAACCUCAAAUCAUGCAUAAAUCUCAACCAAAACAUGCAUACAAGUUCCUAGGGGUCUCAAACAGUCAUAUACCCCAACUACAACACUUCAAACACACACAAUCAACACACAUUGCUCAAAACAUCAAUAUUAACCCAUAAUUCAACAUAUAACCUAACAUGUCUUUCUACCCAUAGAUCUUGCAUAAAACUUAUUUAAAACACAUAAGGAGCUUAAGAUCGGCUCUUACCUCUUGAAGAUCGAGAGGGAGACGACCUAAACUUGGAGAUCCACGAAAAUGAGCUCCUGAGUUCCCAAAGCUCCAAAACUUGGUUUAAAUGCUCAAAACUUGCAAUGUGAGUUUAAAACUCAAGAAAAAUGGAAGAGAUUUGGAGGAAGAACACAAGAGUUGCAAAGGGAAGGUCGGAAGCUUGCUGUGGCCGAAAAUGGGAGAAAACUC
rnacentral:lncRNA from 1 species